rnacentral:tRNA from 1 species
GGCUUUAUAGCCUAGUGGUAUCUUGGUGGUUGGUGGUGGGAUAAAGCUUUGGACCAAUAGGUCUGGGUUCGAUUCCCACAAGGGGG